rnacentral:rRNA from 1 species
CACGCAGGCGGUCUGUUAAAUUAGAAGUGAAAGCCUUGGGCUCAACCUGAGAAUUGCUUUUAAGACUGGCAGACUAGAAUCCAGAAGAGGGCAGUGGAAUUCCGAGUGUAGAGGUGAAAUUCGUAGAUAUUCGGAAGAACACCAGUGGCGAAGGCGACUGCCUGGUCUGGUAUUGACGCUCAUGUGCGAAAGCGUGGGGAGCAAACAGGAUUAGAUACCCUGGUAGUCCACACCGUAAACGAUGAGUGCUAGUUGUUGGGGACCAUAGGUCUUCAGUGACGCAGCUAACGCAUUAAGCACUCCGCCUGGGGAGUACGGUCGCAAGAUUAAA